AUUGAACGCUGGCGGCGUGCCUAACACAUGCAAGUCGAGCGGUAACAGGUGUAGCAAUACAUGCUGACGAGCGGCGAACGGGUGAGUAAUGCUUCGGAAUCUACCCAAUGGUGGGGAAUAACCAGCCGAAAGGUUGGCUAAUACCGCAUACGUCCCACGGGAGAAAGCAGGGGAUCGCAAGACCUUGCGCCAAUGGAUGAGCCGAAGUCGGAUUAGCUAGNGGUAGGGUAACGGCCUACCAAGGCGACGAUCCGUAGCUGGUCUGAGAGGACGACCAGCCACACUGGGACUGAGACACGGCCCAGACUCCUACGGGAGGCAGCAGUGGGGAAUAUUGGACAAUGGGGGAAACCCUGAUCCAGCGACGCCGCGUGUGUGAAGAAAGGCCUGGCGGGUU
rnacentral:rRNA from 1 species